GGCUAAUGACCUAAAGCAAAAGGGAAAGAGAGUAGAUCAGACCAACAUUGAUCGUGUUAUACAAGGAGCAUACGAGAAGACAUUAAGGAGUUAUAAUUCGUCAGCCAUGGAUUCAGAUAGACAAUAUCAACCUCUAGUGUUAAUGAGAGCAACCAAAGCUCAUUAAAGUAUUUGAACCGUGUUUGCAAAUGUCGAAAAAGGGCAUUAGUGAGAAUUUCAGAGUCUUCCCGAAAUAAGAACAUGUUAUACUAUUGCUGCGAAGAUUCGCCAAAUGGAUGUCGGUUCUUCUCCUGGUGUGACCCCAUUGAUGUACCAAAUCGACAAAAUCUGGUAGGAGAUACUCCACAAACAAUUGGAGAUGAAAGAAUGCAGGACAAUCAACUAAAGGAAGAGAUUCGAACAUUGAAGAAAAGAAUGAAGAUGGUGGAGGAGUCUUUUAGGACACUAACUAUUGUGAUAAUUGUUAUGUCAAUGUUCUUUCUUGUGAUGAGUAUUAAGAAAUGAUAAAGAUUGUUAGCUAGUGGGAACAUGUAAUAGGGCUUAUAUGAGUUUCAAUGAAAUGACUUAUUUUGGUGUUAUUA